AUUGAACGCUGGCGGCAUGCCUAACACAUGCAAGUCGAGCGAGCGGCGGACGGGUGAGUAAUGUCUGGGAAACCGCCUGAUGGGGGGGGAUAACUACUGGAGACGGUAGCUCAUACCGCAUACCAUCAGAUGUGCCCAGAUGGGAUUAGCUAGUAGGUGGGGUAACGGCCCACCUAGGCGACGAUCCCUAGCUGGUCUGAGAGGACGACCAGCCACUCUGGGACUGAGACACGGUCCAGACUCCUACGGGAGGCAGCAGUGGGGAAGAUUGGACAAUGGGCGAAAGCCUGAUGCAGCCAUGCCGCGUGUGUGAAGAAGGCCUUCGGGUUGUAAAGCACUUUCGGCAGGAAGGCGUUACCCGCAGAAGAAGCACCGGCUAACUACGUGCCAGCAGCCGCGGUAAUUC
rnacentral:rRNA from 1 species